rnacentral:rRNA from 1 species
AGUGAACGCUGGCGGUAGGCCUAACACAUGCAAGUCGAACGGCAGCACAGGAGAGCUUGCUCUCCGGGUGGCGAGUGGCGGACGGGUGAGGAAUACAUCGGAAUCUACCUUUUCGUGGGGGAUAACGUAGGGAAACUUACGCUAAUACCGCAUACGACCUACGGGUGAAAGUGGGGGACCGCAAGGCCUCACGCGAUUAGAUGAGCCGAUGUCCGAUUAGCUAGUUGGCGGGGUAAUGGCCCACCAAGGCGACGAUCGGUAGAUGGUCUGGGAGGAUGCUCAGCCACACUGGAACUGAGACACGGUCCAGACUCCUACGGGAGGCAGCAGUGGGGAAUAUUGGACAAUGGGCGCAAGCCUGAUCCAGCCAUACCGCGUGGGUGAAGAAGGCCUUCGGGUUGUAAAGCCCUUUUGUUGGGAAAGAAAUCCUGUCGAUUAAUACUCGGUGGGGAUGACGGUACCCAAAGAAUAAGCACCGGCUAACUUCGUGCCAGCCGCCGCCGUAACAC